rnacentral:lncRNA from 1 species
GUCUGAGUGGAGGAGCCGGCAACUCACUCUGCCUUGGUUCAGGGAGCCCUGAGAGGGGAGCUGGCCUUUCAACUGGGCUCAGGAGAACCCUGGUUUUAUCGGGGUUUGUGUCCCGGACAUAAUGAGUGGCCAGGACCUGGGGCUUCUAGGCCUGCUCUUCCCCAGUGUGGCCUGUGGGCAGGGGUGGCGUUGGCCUGCAGUUGGCCAUGGCCUCCUGGAUCUGAGGGUGUUGGCCUUGCCCCUUCAGCACGACCCUCCUGUGCCCGUGUCGGCCUCCAUAGACCUCAUCCUGGUGGAGGACGUGAGGGAGAGUCCAGAAGAGGUGACCAACCACAACCACCCUGGCAUCCAGGCGGAGCUGCACAUCAGAGAAGGCUCGGGAUGCUCAUCUUCAGCUCAUCUGCAGACGUCGUCGAGGUGGCCCACCAGGAGGCCAGGGGAGUCGCUGUGGUGAGUUGGCUUUAGUUCCUCAUCUGGGCCACUCCGUGGUUAGUGGAUUGAUUAUUUGAAAAGCUUGCACUUAAUCACACCAGCUAUAAUUAUCAGGGUCUUUAGAUUCUCUGAUUAAUUAAGCAAAUUUGGUCAUUGCCAUGGUACCUUUGUGGGUUUUAGUCCAUAUCCACAAACUACUCAUGCUAUUAAUUACCUAAUGGUUUCCUUUCAAUCUUUUAAUCAAGACUAAAAUAUUACUUCGUAUGCAGCACUAUAACAAUCAUAAAGAACAUUGUUUUUAGAUAAUACAUCAGCUUUUUCUAUUAAUUUUUUUCCAUGUUUCUUUCUUAACCCUCUCCCUAUCCUUGCAAGUAUUGACUUAGCUAUGCCAUGGGAUGGAAGAUUAGCAUUCUGCCUUAUUCUAUGUUAUCCUAAGAUUUUAUAUUUUUCCAAGUUACAUUAUAGGCUAGGUGAUUAUUUUUAUGCCGUCAUUUAUACUUUAGCCAUUCCCUUUUUGUAGAGCAUAUAGGUUAUUUAAUUUUGUUGUUGUUGUUGUUGUUGUUUUUAAAUUGCAAAGCAUAGAAUAAAAAGAGCAAAAACAAAUGCCAAUAUCCCACAUGGCUGCAUCUCUGCAUGACGGAUUACUAGGCAAUCAUGAAAAUUGAACUUCGUUUUAAAGGAAGCUUCUUAACACUGAACAUGCAGUAAAACCACUCCCAUAAAUCAUAAAUACCAACGUUCAGCACUGACCUCCCCCCGUAUGAUUUCGGUAUAAAAUUAGAGAUGGGGACCAGGCAGAAGGACAAUCUGAGGGAAAGCUUCUAUGCUGCACAGCAACCUGCACUACGGUGCUUGAUGAAUCUCAUGUAUGAAAACACCAGGUGUAACCACAAUCCAGAUCAAAAUAUUGAACAUUUUCAGCACCCCAGAAGAUUCUACCAUGCCACU